rnacentral:rRNA from 1 species
CCUAGGGUGGCUGCAGUGGGGAAUAUUGGACAAUGGGCGAAAGCCUGAUCCAGCCAUGCCGCGUGUGUGAAGAAGGCCUUCGGGUUGUAAAGCACUUUCAGUGGGGAAGAAAGCCUUGGGGCUAAUACCCUCGAGGAAGGACAUCACCCACAGAAGAAGCACCGGCUAACUCCGUGCCAGCAGCCGCGGUAAUACGGAGGGUGCGAGCGUUAAUCGGAAUUACUGGGCGUAAAGCGCGCGUAGGCGGUCUGAUAAGCCGGUUGUGAAAGCCCCGGGCUCAACCUGGGAACGGCAUCCGGAACUGUCAGGCUAGAGUGCAGGAGAGGAAGGUAGAAUUCCCGGUGUAGCGGUGAAAUGCGUAGAGAUCGGGAGGAAUACCAGUGGCGAAGGCGGCCUUCUGGACUGACACUGACGCUGAGGUGCGAAAGCGUGGGUAGCAAACAGGAUUAGAUACCCCAGUAGUC